rnacentral:ncRNA from 1 species
AAACAUAAAUGUUUGGUCCUAGCUUUUUUAUUAAUUGCAAGCAAAAUUACACAUGCAAGAAUCCUCAAACUGGUGAGAAUGCCCUUCAAAUCAUGAUGACCAAAAGGAGUGGGUGUCAAGUACACAUAAUAGCAGCUCAUUACACCUUGCUCAACCACACCCCCACGGGAAACAGCAAUGAUAAAAAUUAAGCAAUAAACGAAAGUUUGAUUUAGUUAUGUAAUAUAAUAAGGUUGGUAAAUUUCGUGCCAGGCACCGUGGUCAUAUGAUUAACCCAAAUUAAUAAAUACCGGAGUGAAGAGUGGCUAAGUAUAUAGUCCCACUAUAUAGUCCCAAUUAAGAUUCAAUUCUAUCUGGGUCAUAAAAAAUUACAGAUAGACUAAAACCCAGUACACGCAAGUAAUCCUAAUACAUCUGAAUACACGAGUGAUUAGAUACUCCACUAUGCUAAGCUAUAAACAUAAAAUAUUGAAUACAAACAAAAUAUUUCUCCCGAGAACUACUAGCCAUGGCUAAAAACUCAAAGGACUUAGUGUUGCUUUACAUCCAUCUAGAGGAGCCUGUUCUGUAAUUGAUAAAUCCCGAUAAACCUCACCACUUCUUGCUAAUUCAGCCUAUUUACCACCAUCUUCAGUGAACCUUAACAAAGCAUAAAAGUAAGCACAAGUAUUAACAUAAAAACCUUAGGUCAAGGUGCAGCCAAUGAAGUGGGAAGAAAUGGGCUACGAUUUCUUUACUAAGAAUAUUUAUAUGAAAACCAUUAUGAAAAUUAAUGGUCGAAGGAGGAUUUAGUAGUAAACUAAGAAUAGAGAGCUUAGUUAAAUACGGCCAUGAAGCACGCACAAACCACCUGUCACCCUCCUUGAAUUCCUACAAUCCUACUUAAAAACAUUAAACAAGGAACAUGACAUGAAAGGAGGUAAGUCGUAACAAGGUAAGCAUACUGGAAAGUGUGCUUGGAUAAUCAAAGCA